UAGGGAAUCUUCCACAAUGGACGCAAGUCUGAUGGAGCAACGCCGCGUGAGUAAAGAAGGUCUUCGGAUCGUAAAACUCUGUUGUUAGAGAAGAACACGAGUGAGAGUAACUGUUCAUUCGAUGACGGUAUCUAACCAGCAAGUCACGGCUAACUACGUGCCAG
rnacentral:rRNA from 1 species